rnacentral:tRNA from 1 species
GGUCUCGUAGUGUAGCGGUUAACACGCCUGCCUGUCACGCCGGAGAUCGCGGGUUCGAUUCCCGUCGAGACCGCCA